UCCCAAACCCUCCUCCCCGAGAUCCCCCACCCUGCGCCGCCGCCCGGUGGAUCCCCCCCAUCCGCCGCCGCCGCCCGGUCGAUCCCUACCCUCCCCGAGAUCCAAAGCAAUGUCGCCCUCAAUUACCUUGACCGCGGUGGCCACGGGCAUUGCAGUGGCCACGGGAACUGCGGAGCUUGUGAGGGGCACCGCGGACGUGAUCUCCUACAUGAGGGACAAGCGCUGCCGAGAAUGCAGCAUGAUGGUGAAGCAGCGGGAGAUUGUCAAGCAUCUGGAAGACCACCUGGAGCAAAACCAGCUACUGUUCGCAGAUGAGAAGGCAGAGCUGCAGAGCAAGCUGGAGCGUAUGGCUGACGCUGAGAGCAAGCACACAGAGGAAAAGGUUGAGCUGAAAGAAGAAAUCGCUCAUCUUGAGAAGACGCUCAAAGAGGAAAAGGAAGAGCUCCUUCACAAGAUUGAGCUCUUGUAAAUGAUUUCUUUCUUUCUCGUAGUAUGUAUUUCACCUCCAAAAGAGGAUAAGAAACUAUGCAAGGCAGAAAAGGCUGCCCUCAAGGAGGAGCUGUUCAACGCCAAAAAUGAGGUUACCCAGUUGAGAGCCCUAUCGCUGUCCGAUAUCAAGAUCAAGUGUGAAUCGUGCAACCGAUCUGUGCUAACAAGAGACUGGAAUUCUCACGUCCAGAUCCACAGAGACGAGCGCCGCUUGUUGCACAAACAGUUGGAAGGAAAAUUCCAAUAAACACAACAUCCAGGUUUUACUAAUGGACAAACAAGCUGCUCCUGCAUCAUCUGUUUAUCUGACAAUGGCCAUACUCAUCAGGUUUAAGCAAUGCUCAUUCAGGAGGAGGUCCGAAAACAAGGCAAUCAACGUUCAGGAGGAGGUCCAAAAAACAAGGCGAUCAAUUUUAAUAAUUAGUUCUGCUGAACAAUGAUUCCGUGAAUUUUUUGCUACUGCAAAUUUUGUCUUCUGGUGGCUAUCAUAUACAUCUUUGAACGAGCAAGAAUAUUAGUAGAGAAAACUGUCCAGUUUUUCUGUCAUGACAACAAAUGUCCAUGUGGUGGAAGACUUUAAUCUGUUAGUGUCUUAGCAGAAAUUGAUUG